AAAAUACUCCCUCCAAUCCAUAUUACUUGUCGCACAAACAUAUGUAUCUAAAGAUAUUUUAGUGCUUGAUACAUCGAUUUGAGCAACAAGUAAUAUGGAUUGGAGGGAGUAUAUC
rfam:Triticum aestivum genome assembly, contig: Triticum_aestivum_CS42_TGACv1_scaffold_603128_7DL